GACGAACGCUGGCGGCGUGCUUAACACAUGCAAGUCGAACGGUGACGGAGAGCUUGCUCUCCUGAUCAGUGGCGAACGGGUGAGUAACACGUGGGCAACCUGCCCAGACUUCGGGAUAACGCUUCGAAAGAGGUGCUAAUACCGGAUACGAGCUCCUUGGGCAUCCUUGGAGUUGGAAAGUUUUUCGGUCUGGGAUGGGCCCGCGGCCUAUCAGCUAGUUGGUGAGGUAACGGCUCACCAAGGCGACGACGGGUAGCCGGCCUGAGAGGGCGACCGGCACACUGGGACUGAGACACGGCCCAGACUCCUACGGGAGGCAGCAGUGGGGAAUAUUGCGCAAUGGGCGAAAGCCUGACGCAGCAACGCCGCGUGAGGGAUGACGGCU
rnacentral:rRNA from 1 species